rnacentral:lncRNA from 1 species
AGAAGGCUAGGGGCUGGAGAUCAGCUAAGGGUUGCAAAACUGGUUUUUACCCAGAAGUUUUACAAGUCCUGCUUCAACAGUCUAGCACUGGAAUGUGGAAGCUGUUGGCAUCUCCUCUACGAACUGCAGCCCCAGGUGAAUCUGAAAAUCAAGAAUCCGAGGGUGCCUGGGUGGCUCAGUGAGUUAAGCGUCUGUCUUUGGCUCAGACCCGCGAUCUCAGCAUCCUGGGACCCAGCCCCGGGAUUGAGCCCAGAGUCCAUCUGCUCACUCAGCGGGGGCGUCUGCUUGUCCCUCUCCUUCUCCCUCGACCCCUUCCCCCCUCUCAAAUAAAUAAAAUCUUCUAAAAUAAUUUUUAAAAUUUUUAAAUAAAGACUCCAAUUCUCACACCCUGUUACAAUCACCUUCACAUAGUGAAAAUACUGCAAGGCCCAUUGUUGGGUUUUGCUCUUUUAGACACGAUUUAAGAUCAAAAUCUGAAUGGUCUAAUAAAGUUUAAGAGCAGGGUGUAAAUGUUAAAAUACGGAGCAUCUAAAAGUAAUGGUUUUACUAUCAGAAGGCAGCAGAAGGAGGAAAAAAGUAGGUUUGAGGGCUAAUCCCUUCAUCUUAUAAAAGGAGUCAAAAGAUACUACCUCAAGUUGAUGAACUAAGAAACAGAAGUUUAUAAAAAUUAUUUAAAAUUAUAAACUUAUUGAGAGGAGAAAUAAAAAUAAUUUCCCCCCCAAAAAAACCCCAAAACAAGAAAGGAUAAAUGCGAGAAAAGGUUAUGAAUCCCUCAUCUUUAGAAUGGAGACAACCAUCAGGGGCACUAAAAUCAGAGUUUAAAAUGGUUAAUUUGAGGGGCGCCUGAGUGGCUCAGUGGGUUAAAAAGGCUAAUUCAGGGAGUGUGCUCAGGACUGGGGUGCUUGGAGAAAUGUACAGAGGUCUGAUGACUAUUUUUAACCAGAAUAAGGCUGCUGAUGAGUGCCUUCAAUAAAAAAGAUUUUCUUCCUCUUAAAAGGCAUUUAGCAAAUUAUCAAAUGUCACCAUGUCACAGGGGUGUGUUUGAAAUAUAUAAAAAUAGAUAGAUACAUGCAGUGCAUGUGUACGUCAUACAUACGGCACAUACGCACACACAAUGUAUGUAUGUAUAUAACAUACACAGGUUUGAU